AAAGAUCACGAAGUCCAACCACGAAUACUUAUCAGUUAUCCACUGGCCGAGGCAGUUUCGGUUGAAGUUUCGCUCACUAAACCGAUAAAUUACCAGAAUACGAAUAGAUACUGAUUACGACAAUUACACAUAUGAUAUACAACAAACACCUAUACACUUGCGAGUUUUUAAUAACUACGUACCUAGUCUCGAAUAAGUUUAUGAGGCGGUUGUGAAUCGUCCG